AAAUCUAAGAUAAAAGGUCAUACAAUUGUUACCACAAUAUUUAAUGUUAAUGUACCCUAUAACGCAUUACAAAGCAACACCAAUUACUAGUAACUUGUUUAACUCUAACUUUACAAUGAAUGAAAAUAUACAAAUAAUUGCACCAAUGAUCUUUACAGAUAAUGCCUUAUAUGACUGUCCAUAUUUACAAUACCAAUAAUCAUAAUAUCGUGUACAAUUCACAUACAUAAGAAUACUCAAAUGCUCUUUAAGCAUUCUAAAACAAUUGCUUAAAAGGGCUCAUCUUUCACAAAGAAAAGUCUGUGAUCACAAUUCCCUCUCCCCCUUGGGAGUUUUAUGUUAUCAUACACUUUUUCAAUUUGACCACUUUGUCAAUCAUCAUGAGGUAAACCCUGCCAUUUUUUAGUCAUAAUUUAAAAUCUCCU
rnacentral:lncRNA from 1 species